rnacentral:rRNA from 1 species
UGGAGAGUUUGAUCCUGGCUCAGGAUGAACGCUGGCGGCGUGCUUAACACAUGCAAGUCGAACGGGAUCCAUCGGGCUUUGCCUGGUGGUGAGAGUGGCGAACGGGUGAGUAAUGCGUGACCGACCUGCCCCAUGCACCGGAAUAGCUCCUGGAAACGGGUGGUAAUGCCGGAUGCUCCAUCACACCGCAUGGUGUGUUGGGAAAGCCUUUGCGGCAUGGGAUGGGGUCGCGUCCUAUCAGCUUGAUGGCGGGGUAACGGCCCACCAUGGCUUCGACGGGUAGCCGGCCUGAGAGGGCGACCGGCCACAUUGGGACUGAGAUACGGCCCAGACUCCUACGGGAGGCAGCAGUGGGGAAUAUUGCACAAUGGGCGCAAGCCUGAUGCAGCGACGCCGCGUGAGGGAUGGAGGCCUUCGGGUUGUAAACCUCUUUUGUUAGGGAGCAAGGCACUUUGUGUUGAGUGUACCUUUCGAAUAAGCACCGGCUAACUACGUGCCAGCAGCCGCGGUA